GUAGUCUAGGACACAUGUUUGAAACGUGUUUAGCACAUGUCCUAAAACAAGAGACAUGCCAAACAUGUUUCAGACACGUGCCCUAGCCAUU
rnacentral:pre_miRNA from 1 species